UUUCUGGAGGCUACAUGUUGUCCAGGCAACUGGGAAACAUGAGGUUCAUAGGAAGGUGGAAUGGGAUAUAUACAAAGCUUAAAAUACCAAGGUCUCAAAGGGUCAAUUCUCUUCUUUCCCCCAAAUCCUAAGUGUAGUUUGAAGAGAAAGGGCUUUGGAGCUGACUAGCUAUAAUUCACUUCCAUGUAGCACUGCCUGCAAUUUGAAGACUCACAAAUUACAGAUUUACACGUCUGAAAUGGCACUUCCCUGCCGAUUCAGAGGAAAAGGACUGAUGGUAGCCAUUUUGGUCAACUUACACCCCAGGUGUAAUCAACUAAAUGAUAUUUUUAGGCUUAAAACUGAAGAUCCCCUUCAGCAAGUCAUUCUGUGGUAUAUGAGGGAAAAACAAGCAGGAGAAGGUGGUCCAGAGAGUUUCCCAUUUCAGAGAAAUGAGACGCAGAGAAGAGGCAAAUUCAGGACCUCAGGAUGCUGACACAGAGAUGCUGGUGGAGAAGGAAGGGCACUGAUUAGAGGCAAUUGCUGUGAGUUCUUAUCCCUUCUCCGGAUACGUAAACUUGGGCAAGUCUUUUGAUCUUGCUUGGCUUCAGUUUCCUAGUCUUUAAAUCCUUGAUUUGGGGAGUUCCCGUCGUGGGUCAGUGGUGAUGAACCUGGCUAGGAUCCAUGAGGAUGCUGGUUCAAUCCCUGACCCCGCUCAGUGAGUUAAGGAUCCGGCAUUGCCGUGAGCUGUGGUAUAGGUCACAGACACGGCUCAGAUCCAGCGUUGGUGUGGCUGUGGUGUAGGCCAGCAUCUGCAGGUCUGCUUUAACCCCUAGCCUGGGAACUUCCAUAUGCCAGGCGUGCGGCCCUAAAAAGCCAAAACAUAAACCAAAACCCCAAUAAAAAUUUUUUUGAUUUUAUAAAUCUUGAAAGGCUUGGGUUUUCACCAGGUAUUUAUAGGGCUAUCUUUUUUCACGGUGACUUAAUAUACAGACUCUCUUCCCCUAUUCCCUCAUGUGGUUGAUUUUCACACAGGUGCCGAGAAAAUAGCUUGCUUGGCUCUGCGGUAUUAAGUUGAUUGGGGCUCCCUCUAGUGGACUUAUUUGACCUUCUCCGGAGUCUCCUACAUUUUUCUAUUUAAAUCAGUUAGUAAGCAAUGUGGGGGUGCCUCCCCCACUUAGGGAUAGUUCCUAGCCUCUUCCGGGAGUCAUGAGUAGUUGGAAAAAUCAGUCUGGGGAAGGGAGAAUGGUGGGGGCUUUGCCCUUGUCAGGCAGCCCUCCCUUCACCCCACCCUCCUCCAGCCCUUGCUGCUGGGAGCUUUGUCAUCCAUCUGCCCCCUGGAUCUCUGUUUACCACACUGGCUAGAAUGAAAACAACAGAAAUUUUAGGCCUUUCCCCCUUGUGGAUUAAGGGAACUAUAGACUCUUCUUCCUUCUUUCUUCUGUUUUUUCUUUUUAAGGGCCGCACUCUCGGCUUAUGGAGGUUCCCAGGCUAGGGGUCGAAUCAGAGCCAUAGCAGCAGCCUAUUCCGUAGCCACAGCAAUACGAGAUCCAAGUCGCAUCUGCAACCUACACCACAGCUGGCUGCAAUGCUGGAUCCUUGACCUACUUAGUGAUGCCAAGGAUUGAACCCACAGCCUCAUGGAUACUAGUUGAGUUUCAAAGCCCCAAGCCAUAUUGGGAAUACCCAGACUCUUUCUUUAGAUAUUUCUCCCUAUUUCUGUCCCCCUCAACAUUUUUGGCCAAAUGCCUGUUGUCAGGAACCGAUCUGAAGAAAUAGCCAUGAGGUUUGGGGGAAAGAAAAGUCCUUCUAGGGAUCAGGUAGAUUUAGGCAGAAGCUGAUGCAUGUUUAUUUGUCUCCUCAUGGCUGCAGGGUACUUCUCAGACUCUGUGGAGAUUUUACAGAGUAAAGGAAAGAACUGGUCUUGUUCUUCUAGAUGUGAAUAGUUCCUGUACUUAUUUGCAGAUAACCUGCACAUUUCCUAAAUCUGGAAACAAGUUUUCUUCUAAUUUCAAAGCAUGUUUUCCAUUUAUCCCCACCCCCACCCCCAAGAUCCCUCUCUCCCUGCCUAGGAAUGCAGUAGAGAUUGCUGUCCUGGUCCUUCUCAUACGGAAGCCUAUUUGGGGAAUUUUCCAAGGGAUAAUUAGUGUCUCGGUAUGCUGAUGCACAGUGAUAUAUUGAGGAUAGAGAUUACAGAAUACAAACAACAUCUCAUGCCGCAGAAGAGCAUUUACUUUUCAAAUAUGUUCAGUCAACCGACUUUCAGGUGCAGAAUGAGGAUGUGGUUUGGGGUGAAGAUGAAAUGGAAUAAGAAGAGUGCUACAUGUCACAUGAUGUGAUACAAACUGAGCCAGCUCUAGAAUAAUCCAGGAAUGAGAAUGGCACUGUGAGCAACAAUUCAAUCUCUAGGACAUUUUGAAAACAAGCCAAGUGAAAAUUGUGAGAAAAAAGUCAAUCUUUCCUUUUUUUCACCUAUAAACCUCAGUUUAGAGGUAAAAAUAGGAAAGAUCAUUUCAGCAGAACCCUGUCUUCCUUUGAAGAGGAUCCUAUCCAGGAGUUUUAAGGAGAUACACAGGAGAGAUUCUACUGCAUUCCAAUGUGAGAGAUAAGUCAUUGCAUAUGACUUAUGGAUAAGUCCAUUGUGUAUGGAAAGAAAUAUGGCUUACUGCAGCAGAAGCAAAGGACAAAUUAUAUAUUACAUAUUAUUAUAACUCUAUUCUAUACAAACCAUACUGAACAUAAUAUAAAUGGUAAGACUUAAACUAAGCCAGAGAUGUGGAUGUGACCUGCAAGCUCAUACACAGCUCCAAAGAUUAAUUUCUUGCCUAUACUCCAUUAAAUCUAGGAUUUGACUAUGAGGGGAAAAAGUACCCUUGUGUAUCUGCACUGUGCCAGCUACUGUGGAAGACCAGAGCCAAUAAGAUAGUAUAGCAUGGGAGUUCCCAUUGUGGUGCAGGGGAAACAAAUCCGACUAGCAACCAUGAGGUUGCAAGUUUGAUCCCUGGCCUCUCUUAGAGGGUUAAGGAUC
rnacentral:lncRNA from 1 species